AACGAACGCUGGCGGCAGGCCUAACACAUGCAAGUCGAACGCCCCGCAAGGGGAGUGGCAGACGGGUGAGUAACACGUGGGAACCUUCCCAACAGUACGGAAUAGCCCAGGGAAACUUGGAGUAAUACCGUAUAUUCCCGAGAGGGGAAAGAUUUAUCGCUGUUGGAUGGGCCCGCGUCGGAUUAGCUAGUUGGUGAGGUAAUGGCUCACCAAGGCGACGAUCCGUAGCUGGUUUGAGAGAAUGACCAGCCACACUGGGACUGAGACACGGCCCAGACUCCUACGGGAGGCAGCAGUGGGGAAUCUUGGACAAUGGGCGCAAGCCUGAUCCAGCCAUGCCGCGUGAGUGACGAAGGCCUUAGGGUUGUAAAGCUCUUUUACCGGGGACGAUAAUGACGGUACCCGGAGAAUAAGUCCCGGCUAACUUCGUGCCAGCCGCCGCGGUAACAC
rnacentral:rRNA from 1 species